ensembl:lncRNA
GUUGGUGGAUGCAAAUGCACACGUUCGAUUUGUAACCAAUGAUUUUAUUUCCCACACAACCUGGGAAGUGAACAAGAAAAAAACAAACGAGGCAAAUAGUCAAAAGGGGAACAGAAAGCGCUCCGCAGGCUCAACUGGAGUCAGGAGGGAAACUCCACCGACGCCUUGCGGUCUGGAGCGGAUAAAGCAGGGAUCUGGUGUGGAAACCCGAGGCCUGACACCAUAACAGUCUGAUUAAAGCGAGUCACAUGUACUCCGCGGUACUCCGCGGGUCAGACUCUGCAGGACACAAAGCAAAAACAUGCAAACUGGUGAGCUGCAUCUGAUCUGCAUCCGGCGCCAUUCACCGGCACCUGAGACCAGCCUGGAUACUGGGAGGGACUGAUGAUGAGCCUCGGAACUCAGGAGCCUUUAUGUCCGUCACUGGUGAUCCCCGGAAUGAGCCACAGCAUCCGCGAAGGAGCUUCUGAUCAGUCAAGCUGGGAGAAGAGCAAUCUCUAUGCGUUCCCCCUGUCUGCUGUCCUCAGGAACCCGUUACUCACAGAGAGACAUGAGAAACACAAGACGAUGGAUACAUGUCUCUCAGUGUGCAAGCAAACCUGGUUCACUUUACACGUAUGAGUGGUAUCUUUUUAACGCUGGAAGAAGAGCUUGACUGAGGCAACUGAUAACAGAGAAUAAAAGAACAUAGACAACAGUAUAACAUGGAACCACAGGGAUCAGAGUUUAAAGGCACAGGGACACAAAUAAAUUCAAUUCAAUUCAAUUCAUUUUGUAUAGCCCAAAAUCACAAAUUACAAAUUUGCCUCAGAGGGCUUCACAGCCUGUACACAUGCGACAUCCUCUGUCCCAAAACCCUCACAUCGGCACAGGAAAAACUCCUCAUUCCAUGGGGAAAAAAUGGAAGAAAACGUCAGAGGAGGGAUCCCACUCCCGGGAGGGACAGACUACAAUGGAUGCCAUGUGUACAGAAUGAACAAUGUAUAAUACAUGCAAUUCAUAUGACAGAAAUGAUUCAAGUAAUUGUGAGUAGUAAGCCAGGCGCACAGCAGGACCGCUGCAGGGGCAACCACCAUCAGAUAGAACCACCAUCCACAGAAGCCUGUGGGGAGGGAGAGCACAGAGACUUUAGGAGAGGGUAAUGUUGGUUUACGAGUACAGUAAUAUGAUUCAUAUUUUAUAAUAAUGAUGAUGAUGGCAGCAGCAGGUGUCAGCAGGGCCACAGCAGGUGUCAGGACCAGGGUCCAGAAGGAACUACGAUCUAUGAAGACCUGCAAGAGGAGAAAGCACAAAAAACUCCUGGAAAGAAGCUGAAUUAGUCAUGUGCAUUAAUAAAACGUGGAUUAUUGCACAAAGAGAGCGUGAGAGGGGAGCUCGGUGUGUCCUAAAGUCCCCCGGCAGUCUAAGCUCACCAUUGUUUGGUAUAUAACAAUAUACUAAACAAUGGUGGAAAGUAAACAACAUUACAUAAAGUACUUCAGUAGGUUCUUAGAUACUUAGUUUAUAUUUAAUGCUAUAUUUUCUUUACAUACCUGGCACCGGUUGAUGCGGGAUUCAGAAUGUAGAUAUAGAUUUUGAACACCUAUGUUGAUAUCAAUUGUAUACGCUGCUAAAAAUAAAUUAGAAAACUGUAUAUAACACGGGCGAAUUGAUCUGAAGCCCAUGAGCGACCACAAAUCAUUUUUACAGCUCCAAACGCAGUUCGGAGUAUUGGGAUGUCAUUUUUAUGGGACUAGGAUGCAUACAAAGUCCUACUUCAGCAUCGUAUUUGCUAAGACUUAUUGAAUGGUGAACAGACGUAUUUAGAGUAUUGAACAAUAGAUACGAUAGAGUUAAAUGUUAGCACGAAGACAGCAAUCUUCAGGAAGAUUAUUUUUCCCCCAGUGUUUCACUCUUCUGUGCAUUUUCCAUGCAGGGUUUCCAAGGCUUGUAUUGAUUUUUGGCAUAAAAGAGACCAAAAGGACAUCAAUUCUAAAAUAGAUUAUCCUAAAGAAACGGAGCUUACAGCACUGGAUUUAUCUUAGCGACACAAACUGCACAAAGCACAUGGACACACACACACACACACACACACACACACACACACACACACUGGGGAAAGGACAGAGGAAACCGGUUCAAAGAACACUGUUUUUUUUCUUGCCUAUUCUCUGUAUUAAGAGGGAGGGGUACAGUUUUGGUCAAAAGUUUAAAUGCACUUGUAAAGAACAUGUCACAGCUCUUUGGCUUUCCCAUUAUUUCUACAAGUCGCUGUUUUCUCUGAUUUCUCUGAGUGAUUGGAACAGUUACUUUUGUCAGAAAAAAACGUUGAGCCUACAAUGUGUAAUUUAUUGUUCAUGUUUAUUCCACAUCAGUUUUGGGUAAAAAAAAAAUCUUUUAUGAUUCACUUAUUUAUCAUUGAACAUUCUUCUUAACAAGAACAUGCUUGAGCCAUUUAAAAUAGAAGAGUGGGAAGAGGAAGAAUAUAUGCUAUAAUAUAUAGCAUAAUAGGGACUCUCCUCCAGAGCAGUAACAAACAACAAAUGUCUUCUGGAAAUGACUUUGACUGUGAUUGUGAAUACAAUUAGAAGACACUGAUUUUGUUUUUAUUAACAUAAUGAUGAAACGUUGUUAAUUAAGUGUUCCAAAAUGUUAAUGCUAACUACAUCUGCAAAAUAUUCCGUAAUGAUAGAGAUUGUUUGUUUUCCAACAACAGCUGAUUUUAACAAUACAGGAAGUGAGUAGCAAUUUACGCAUGAUGGAGCAUAAAUGAGGUCGUGGUAAGAACCAGCUGUUGGUUGAAUAUUGAAAAAGGAGCAAAUUGCAUAACGUGUUUACUUUAAUAGCAUUUAAUCUACCCACAAUCUUCAAGUGUUUUUGUUGCCCAGAUCUAAACACACAGAAAUAUGGAUGCAAACCCUUGUCUGGAGUUUAAUCCCUGAAUCUAGUAUGGCCACUAUCAACCGAUCAUCCACUUACCCAUGAUAUCUACAUGAAUUUAGCCCUGCACAGUAUGAUACACAGAAAUACCUGAUAAAUUAAUUCGGUGAACUGAACUCAAGCUAAAUUAGUUAUUUAGAUGCAGUGGAAAUAGAAGUCUGGAAUUUGUGUUAGUAUGUGUGUAUGUAGGGGUGUGCAUGCCCGAAGCAGCAAGACACAUUUCUGAGAUUAAAUUAAAACGAGAGGGCAGUGGAAUAUGUCUCCUUUUCAUUAGUGGACGGUUUUGGAGGUCUCAUAUCCUGCGGUGUGGAGCCAGUGAAGACUCUCCCUCCGUCUCGAACUCUAAAUAGCCAAAUGCAUUAUUCAACAACACCCUGAACCCUCUUUCUUUUUCUAAAAUAUUAAACUUGAAAAAUUGAUUCAUCCUUCAAAAUUCAUUCCAAUCACAAAAGUCAUUCCUGUGCAAACACCCUGAUUACUCACACAGAUGAAUAGAUCUCAGAGGAGGUGGUGGGGGGUGGAGGUAGGGGGUAAGGAGUACCUGAGGGCAGAUGUCGGGCAUUUCUAAGGGAUGACAUUAAAACAGGAAGGCUGCAGUGGUGGCUUGGGAUGUAAACUGACAGGUGUUGAAAAUGCAUAUUCACUUCAAGGAUUGGAGAGGGAACAUAAUACUAUAGAGAGGUUGUUCUGGAAAGGAUUAGAAACUGCUUUCCACUGCUGGAACAUUUAUGACGUUGGAGAAUUCACCAGGCCUGGAGUACGACCUGUUGCAACAAUGAUCUAUGUAAUACAAGCUCUCUAUCUAUAUAUUUCUGAUGACCACAGUUUUGGAGCCUAUACCAUUCUUUUGUAAUAAAUCAAAGUGGGUUUAUAUCAAAAAUUCACAAAAGUCAUUUCCAUAGGGAGAAUUACGAGACAGAAAAUUAAUGCAAAUAAGGUGUUAUUGCUUUUACUUGAAGUGGAACAAAAAUCAGGACACAUUCCACAAAGGAUGAAUUUGAUAACAAGCUCUUGUCGACCAGCAGAUGGUAAACACAAUUAGAUUUCAUUUGGAGUUUCAUUUUGGAGUCAGCAUCAAGUGAUCAAUUGGACUUUCGACACUAUUAGCAAAGGAUGUUUUUGGUCUUUUCUCUGCACAUCUAUCACUGUGUGGUUUGGGCCUGCCAGCAAGCAGGACAAGUACGAACUGCAGAGGAAAUGAUUUAUGCCAGCCGGCCUACAUCCAGGACUAAUGCACCUGAUGAGUCAGGGAGAGGGAGUCAUCACCGCAAACACAACAUUUUACAACUUCUCACCUCUAAUUUGGAUACUAAAACUGUUUGCCUUUCGGGUUAUGAACAUUUUUUAACGAAACACAGCUUUGAUUUCAUUAUAUUCACAACAACAAUGAUCUUUGUAACAGGCCCAUAUGGCCAUACUGAUAUGAGUAAAGUGAAAAGAAAAUGUAUUCUCUAAGGUCACUCUGCCAUGGCAGUAUGUAUCUCUUUCUGUAUUUUGCAGUAAACAAUGACCAAAAUACCAUCUUUCUUAAUUUCUUAUUUCUCUUUCUCUGCCUUUCUCUUGUUUUCUCUAUCUGGUUCCAUGUGCUGAUGAUGAUAGUGGGAUUAGCUUCUUCCUUUGUCUGCUUCGUCACUUAAAAGAAUGGACUCAUCAGCCUAAACCUUGAUGUCAGGUUCUGUAAGCUGCCAUUUAUUAGGCACACUGCUUCCAGAGCAGCUUGUAUUAAAACUUGGACAAAUUGAACAAUUCAUGUCUAUUUUUCAACAUCUCAUCGGUUUGUGUCUGAGAGGAUUAAUACUGUAUUCCCUAGGAGGAUCAAGUGAAACUCAAAUCAAUAAUGGCCCCCAGAAGUUUCUCGAAUAAAGGUACCACCAUUUAAAAUGUAGGUUAAAUUCAAUUCAUUUUAUCUUGUAUAGCCCAAAAUCGCAUUACACAUUCGCAUUACAUUACAAAUUAGACAUUACUUUUCAAAUUUGCCUCAGAGGGCUUUACAGUCUGUACACAAACGACCUCAUCCCGAAACCCACCAUCGGCACAGGAAAAACUCCCCAAAAAAAUGAAAAAACCCUUCCAAGAGGGAAAAAAGGGAAGAAACCUUAGGGAGAACGUCAGAAGGAUCCCACUCCCGGGAUGGACAGACUACAAUGGAUGCCAUGUGUACAGAAUGAACAAUGUAUAAUACAUGCAAUUCCCAUGACAGAAAUGAUUCAAAUAAUUGUGAGUAGUAAGCCAGGCGCACAGCAGGACCACUGCAGGGGCAACCACCAUCAGAUAGAACCACCACCAGGUUGGGUGGUUAUUAAUUGAGUUGUCUUCCAUGAGCAAGGUACGGACAUUUUUGGUUCCCACAGAGUUUUAAGUUGAAGAAAAAUUGAAGUAAAAUUGGAACGAUCCAAUUGUACAAUCCAAAAUUAAUACGACACUUGUAUUUAACCUUUGCUCUUUCAUCUAAUUUUCCAUUUACUUCCACCAUGACUGGAAACACUCAGAGUGCUAAUUAAAAGCAAAACCACUUAAGGUCCUUGAUUCAUGUACCAAAGAAAAUGAGUCAUCAUUGCAUUUAGUUAUAGGGGGUGACUCAUAAGUGCAUUGCUGAGCACAUCUGUGACCAUCACAAAGACCACAGCUCUGUAAAGGGCUGUUGAAACAUCUAUUUACUAAUCCAUCACUCAGUCACGCUCAAAAAGAAAACUUCCUUAACUUUGACAUCCUGUGGAUGUUUAAAAAAGGCGCACACACACACACACUGCGGGAGGUAGGACUCAGACGCAGAGUUCAAAAACAAAAGGGACUUUUAAUAGUCAAAAGCAAAAUCAAAAGGCCAAGGGGCAAAAACACACAGGAACCAGGGGGAAAAACAGCAGGCAGGAAACUAUGAAAAUCC